rnacentral:rRNA from 1 species
UAACCUACGGGAGGCAGCAGUGGGGGAUAUUGCACAAUGGGGGAAACCCUGAUGCAGCGACGCCGCGUGAGUGAAGAAGUAUUUCGGUACGUAAAGCUCUAUCAGCAGGGAAGAAUAAUGGCGGUACCUGACUAAGAAGCCCCGGCUAAAUACGUGCCAGCAGCCGCGGGAAUACGUAGGGGGCAAGCGUUAUUCGGAUUUAAUGGGGGGAAAGGGAGCGGAGACGGGUGUGGAAGUCUGAAGGGAAAUGCCGGGG